rnacentral:rRNA from 1 species
UACGUAGGGGGCAAGCGUUGUCCGGAAUCAUUGGGCGUAAAGAGCGUGUAGGCGGCCAGAUAAGUCCGCUGUGAAAUCUCGAGGCUCAACUUCGAGCUGUCGGUGGAAACUGUCUGGCUAGAGUCCGGAAGAGGAGAAUGGAAUUCCUGGUGUAGCGGUGAAAUGCGCAGAUAUCAGGAAGAACACCCGUGGCGAAGGCGGUUCUCUGGGACGGUACUGACGCUGAGGCGCGAAGGUCAGGGGAGCAAACGGG